ensembl:lncRNA
CUUCAGACCAGAAACACUGACCUGCACAAUAAUACUGGAUCUGCUACACUUGUCACCCUGAAUGUGAAAGCAGAAAAUUCUGGGCAGUACAUCUGUAUGGCAAAACAUCUGGACAAAACACUGACUUCAUAUGUCAAUGUGACUCUGACAUGGCAUACAAAGAUACAGAAUGGCUCUGGAUGUGUGCUUCAGUCAGAUGCUUUGACCUGUGUGUGUAUCAGUGAAGGGUUUCCCUUACCUACCAUCAAAUGGCCGCUCCUAGAAAACCACACUCAGUAUACUCUCAUUACUACUGUGUCAAACCACACAGUCAACAGCACUGUCAGUCUAACUGUAAAAAAACAUGGCAACAGCACUGUUGAAUGUGUCAGCAACAAUGGAAAUGGA